rnacentral:rRNA from 1 species
GAGAUAUAUACUGUCUCAUAUAUAUAAAAUGAAUUUAAAUUUUUAGUAAAAAUGCUUAAAUAAUUUUAUGGGACGAUAAGACCCUAUAGAAUUUUAUAUUAAAAUUUUAUUAAUUAUUUAGUUAAAAUUUUAAUAUUUAGUUGGGAGGAUUAGUAAAUAAAAUUAACUUUAUUUUAAAAAUAAACUUUGAUUUAAGAAUAAAAUUUUGAUCUUAUACUAUAAAUUAAAAGAAUAAAUUACCUUAGGGAUAACAGCGUAAUAUCUUUUUAAAGAUCAUAUUAAUAAAGAUGUUUGCGACCUCGAUGUUGAAUUAAGAUAAAUUUUAAAUGAAGAAAUUUAAAAAUUAAGUCUGUUCGACUUUUAAAAUCUUACAUGA